rnacentral:tRNA from 1 species
GCAAUGGUGGUUCAACGGUAGAAUUCUUACUUCCCAUGUGGGAGGCCUGGGUUUGAUUCCCAGCAAUGCA